AGACCACUAUGCUCAUCCAAGCAGUUCCGUCAUCCACCAUUCACAUCCUCAAGUCCGCCCAACCUUUUGAUGAAAAACAUUGAUACCAUCUCCGACAAGAUUUCAGCCGGCCACUACCUUAAUGAGAAAGAGAGAAGCAAAAGAAUCGAAAUACUACAUGAAGUUGUUUCCAGAGAAACUCUCAUCGUUGUAGAUAACUCGAUUUCUCGCUUCCAGUUACAACCAAUUUAUUUUUUGUUGCUAUAUCAAUCUGGGCAUGUAAUUGUUGUUGUAUGUUGUUAUCUUACUUGGAUCUUUCAUUUAUUCUGCAAAGCUUGCUUGAAUAGAAGAGAUUUAGAAACAGAGAGAAUAAGAGAGGAAGAAGAAAUGAAAAAGUGA